GACGAACGCUGGCGGCGUGCUUAACACAUGCAAGUCAAAGGGGGCCCGACGCAAUAGGGCGAACCGGACGAACGGGUGGCGUAACAACGUGAGCAACCUAACCGAACUGUGGGGGAGUAGCCGGCCUAACGGCCGAGUAAUACCGCAUACGCUCUCAGUGAGGCAUUUCAUUGAGAGGAAACCUACGGGACAGAUCGAGGGGCUCGCGGCCUAUCAGCUUGUUGGUGGGGUGAGGCCUACCAAGGCGACGACGGGUAGCCGGCCUGAGAGGGCGACCGGCCACACUGGGACUGAGACACGGCCCAGACUCCUACGGGAGGCAGCAGUGGGGAAUCUUGCGCAAUGGGGCGAAAGCCUGACGCAGCGACGCCGCGUGAGGGAUGA
rnacentral:rRNA from 1 species